rnacentral:miRNA from 1 species
GUGUUUACCGUGGGGUCUUGAU